ensembl:lncRNA
GCACCUAAGGGGCUGCACCCUGAUGGGAGCUACUUUUGACUUACACAGAGUUUUGGAAAUUUUUAGUUUUGGAGCCAGUCUAUCACCCUGAACAGGUGGAAGAGAUCAUCAGCAAAUUUUAAUCAGCUUUGAAAGUGGGUGUAGUUGAUCCAAGAACAAAAAGGCAUUCACCAAGUAGUAAAUCCAAUCAACUGUGGGUGACUGAUUACUUUUAGCUUUCUUAAUUGAUUGACUGUGGCAUUUCUAUGAAGGAGCUAUUCUGAAACCCAAGGAAGUCCACACAAGUGUUUCAGUUCUUGGAAGAACUUUGAGACAACUCCAGCUGGCAACGAAUGUGCAUAAUGCACAGGGAUGCCUUUGGUAUGAUACAGAGCAACCUGUCAGAAGGUGACUCAGAUCCAAAUAAAGGUACAAGCCCUCAUUGAACAGGGCUCAGUCAUCACCCUCAGCUCUCAGACAUGUCUGCUGAUGGGUUGGGACCAAGGCUCUUGUGGGUUGAUUGAGGAUUUUUUAAAAAUGCUUCUGAACCUGGUAUUUUUGGCUACAAACAAUCAGAGUCCCUGGGAGCAGUCAGCUUCCCUGUAAAGCACAGACUUACUCCUGGGUCAGCCUCAUCUUUCUAAUAACAGUAAGAAAUCCCUUGGGAGUAUUUUAAUAAAAAAAUACUAUCUUCCUGUUGUAAAACAGUGUAAGUAAGUCACAUCAAUCUGUUCCUGAACUUGGCUUAAAAGUUAGAGUGGGACUGUGGAUGUAUUAAAAUGAAAGAAAUUCAGUUGGUAAAAUGCUUUCUCUGGGGCCACUUUUUACUUGUGAAUAGGGGUAGUUUGGUUAAGGAAAAAGACAAAUACACUGCUGGCAUUGCAUCUUUUUGCUACCCUGACUUUCAGCUGCAUUAUUUUUGCUUCCAUCUGUGGAAAAUACAACAGGUUGUCCUCAACAUGCCCUCUUCAAGGUGCAUAAAAUCAGCAGUGGUCAAUGUGUAUCUAGUCUUUGCCAACUGUGGAAAUUAUCCAAGGUGUAUCACACCUGCUGGAAAUCUUUUAAUUGCAGCCACAAAUGCAACUGUUCUCCUGCUCUUGGUUCCCCAGCCAGCAGCUGCUUGGAAGGGGAGAAAGAACUCACAAGGAGCCAGUUCCCUGAGGAUAAAAGAUGAAAGAGAAAAGCAGCAGUGAUGUCUUCAGCACAGGUGGUGACCUGGCUGUGGAUGAAAGGCUGAGUCCACCAGCCCUGCAGAUGCCAAUGGAAAAGGGCAGAGGAAGAAGGCACAAAUGCAGAGCCCUGCUGAGAGCUGUAUCAAGGCAAGGGAAAGCGAAGUGCAACAGGGGAUUUAGGGAGGAAAAGGAAGAAAAACCUUCUUGGAGGGCAAAUGUGUGCUCCUGAGGCUGAACCCACUGAUGCAAGGGCAGCUCUACAGCAAAACAACACAGAGAGCUCGGGGUCAAAUGGUUCAGCAAAGUGCUUGGGUGCCUGAAGGUGAAGGGGGUGCUUUCCUUCCCUUCUCUCAGCUGGUUUUGCUGAGAGGAUCCAUGGACUGCUGUGGAGGGACACAGGGCCCCAAACACCUCUGGAUCUGCCCGUCUCCCUCCCCUGCACUGGGUCUUUCCCAGCAGUGGUACCUCUCCCUCAGGCUGGAGAGACCUGCUCCUGCUCUUAUUCCUCCUAGGAUUUGAUGUGCUCACUGCUGAAAGUGAAGAGCUGUUUUACAGACCUGCAUACAAAAUGUAUCCAUGGAUGUAUGUUUUCAUGUAUUUGAGGCAACCGAGCUGAGAGGGGUGAAGCUAAAAACUCUUUUCUGAGUGUGUGGUUGUAAAUCCAAUAAUACAUUCCCAAGUGUUGUGUUAGGUAAAAGUCAACAGCUAAAGCAGUCAUUGUAUGAAACUGCUGGCUGAGAUGCACCUUGGGCAUCCCAGGCUCACUGUAAAUGAAAUUGUCUGUGUAGGCAGGAGCCGCAUGCAGCCACUGAGGGGGCUCCUCCCUGUUUGUGGGUCACACAAACACAGAAAUCUGCCAGAUCUCUGUCUCAUAACACCAGCAAAGCUUUUUCCUGUUUAGAACUGGGUUAUUUCUCUCCCUUAAGAAACACCAGGCUUGACUUCUCUCACACAUUGCAGGAGCUCCUGUUCCUGGGGAGGGGAUUUCUGCUUGUGUGCACGUGAGCCUGCUUACCUGAAUUGCUUCAGAGUGUGACAGGGUAAAGCAUCAUUUUGUGUAAUAAACAUGGGGUUUAUUUUGUCA